AGGCUCGUCGUUCAAUGGAUAGGAUUUUUGGUUUCGGCCCAAAGGAUGGGGGUUCGAAUCCCCCCGAGCCUA
rnacentral:tRNA from 1 species